rnacentral:lncRNA from 1 species
CCAGUGUGGGUGUUUGUUUUGCUUGACUAUAUAUGUUUGUUACAAGGGUUUUGUUUUUCUUCCUUGGGGAGGGGAAGCAUAAGGGUGAGGUGGAAGGGACAGAAAGUGGAUCUUUGUAAAAACAAAAUAAAAUUUAAUUCAGAAUAAGACGAGGGUUUUGCACUAGCUGAUCUCUGAGUUCCCUCCUUGGCCCCACAUGCCCCAUGAGCCUGAGCUCCCAGACCCAGGGACACACAGAAACUGGCUCUGCCCCACUAAAGUGAUGCCAGGACAGCCAAACCCACCAAUAUGGACGGCAUAGAAUAUACUACAGGACUGCCCAGGCCAGAGCAUUCACGGAUCGAGGGCCACUCCAUAUUCCUGAAGUAGGUGUGUGUGAUGAUGCUCGUGUCUAUACACUGUCGGAGGUUAGAAUCAUUUAGGGCUGAGGAAGAUCUUAUGUGAUGCCUUAUAUCACGGAAUUCAACCUCCUCGUGCUACAGAUGGAGACAGUGAGGGUCAGAGAGGGGACAGGCCAGACAGAAUCAGAGGAAGCGGCUGAGGCCGAGAGAGGAGAAGAAACUUGCUUCAGGUCCCAGGCAUAGAGCAUCCAAGUCAACAUUGGAACUCAAGUUCUCUGAGUACGAAUCCAGGAUUCGUUCACUGUCUGUGUCUUCCAGUCACAGGUUGAUCUCUUUGACAGCAAGGCACUGUCUUAUCUGAACGAGUCCCUCUGCAUACAGGAGAUUCUUAGAAAUGUAUUGAGGCACAGUGCCUGGCACAAUGUUUAUUGACUGACUGACUGAAUAUACCAGACACACAGCACAAACCCACAGAGACACCCACGUUCCGAGGUACGCAGGCAGACAGGCAGUGUGGGCGUGGGCUGGCAGACCAAAGUCGGGGCUUUCCCCCGGGUUAGGGCUGCCUGGGCUGAGGCCGCAAGAGCAUCGAUUGGGUGCCCCUCACUCCCCUGGGGCUCGGCCGAGUCUGCAGCUCCAGGAAGGGAUCAAAUCAACGGUGAAGUGGAUCAAAGGACCAAGGCCAAUGGGGCAGUGGGGAGUGGGAAUCUGGAAGAGGAGCAGGAAGAGAUCCCGGGACGCCCGAAGCGAGAGAAGACAGCCCGAAUAGUGCUGUGGACACCCGAGCGCUUUCCCCACCCUUCAGUCCUACAACGAAAGCUUGGAAGGCCAAUGUGUGGGCCAGAACCUGGGAGUAGAGGCUGGCGUCGGAGCCAGGGCAGGAACCAGAGACACAGAGAUAGAGACCGAGAGGAGGAGCUUGACGCGGGUCCGGUAAGGAGCUAUGGAUCCCGGGGUCAGAGUGGCCCAGUCAGGGCCCCUGCGCUCAGGAGGAGCCCCGGGCAGGGAGGACCCAGCCACCCGACUCUGGACACUACGCUGCUCAUCCGUUGCAGGGUUUCUGUUCCGGGCAGCGCUGGGUAUGGAGUCAAAGACUUGAAUUCAAAUCAGAACUCAGACACUUGCUGUGAGACCCUGGGCAAGUCACUUAAUCUCUUCCUGCCUCAAUUUCCUCAGGUGUAAACGGGCUUCUACCUCGCAAGGUUGUUGUAUGGAUCAAACGAGGUACAUCUUGUAAAAACUUGUAGCACCAUGCCUAGCACAUAGUAGGUAAUCUUCCCUUCUCUUCCUUCCCUGGGUGAGAAGCGAAUGUGACUGCGAGCGUUUGGUAGUGUAUUGGAGAGAGGCUGGGAGAAAAGCCUCGGUGACAGGAAUCCCAGCCCGGAGGCGCACCAGCGUGUGACCUUGGUCAAGUGCUUCCCUUUCCUUUUCUGGGCCUCGGUUUCUCACUCCGUAAAAUGAGGGGCUGAAUGGAGCUCGUUUGUCUCUUGUCCUGUCUGACCGUCUGUGAUGCACGAAUGUGUAUGUGUGUGAGUGUGUGUAUGUGUGUGUGUAAGAGACAGACAGGCAGAGACAGAGACACAGAGAAAGAGAGGGGAGAGUUGGUGUGUGGUUGUGUACAGGGGCACAUUUCACGACGGUGCUCAUUACAGGCGUGGGUUUUUUUUUGAGUAA